UCGUUUCCCCCCUCUCUCUACAUCAAAAUUUCAUUUCUCCCUCCCUCUCCCUCCCUUCCUCCAUCUCCAUCUCAGUUGGACCUCUCCCUCUUCCUCUCCAUUUUAUUUUUUCCUCUCUUCCUCUCCAUAUCGUAACCUUAAAUCUGUGGGCAAUUCCAUUUUAUUUUUUCCUCCUUCCUCCCCGCAUUUCGAAUUCCAGUUGCAGAGUUUGUGGGCAACUCCCUUGGGCUUUUCUAAUCCUUGCUGUUCAGAAAUAUUUAAAACAAUUAUUUACAUAUAGCUAGUAUAACAGCAAUCGAUUGCUGCAGUGUGUAAUUUAGAGUGGCCGACAUCGAAGCUGCUGAUACAAAUUCUUGAUGAUUCAGAUGACCCAACAAAGCAAUUGAUGAUCAAGGAGGAGGUUCAAAAAUGGCAGCAAGAGGGUGCCCACAUUAUCGGGUCAUUAGAGAUGGAUGCAAGGCUGGUAAUCUCAAGUUCGCAAUGAAUUGUAGCUAUGUCAAAGACUAUGAGUUUGUUGCCAUUUUCGACGCCGAUUUCCAACCCAACCUUGAUUUCCUCAAACUUACAGUUCCUUAUUUUAAGGUAGGUAAUCAUGAGUUGCUAAAAUUUCUAGACUUGGAUGGGAAUUCGAAAAUGCAUAAGGAAUCUAAUGCUUAAAAGAUGUUGGUGGUAAUGGCCUCCUCUGCCUCCCUCGUCUUCGUCUUCUCCUUCUCUCUCUCCAUCCUCCCCACUGCUCCCGAUUUCUUCGCUCUCCGUCCUUUGUCUUUGCCAUGAAAACCUCGUCAAGUUUAUUGAAUUGGUUACUAUGAUGACAGAGAACAAGGGGCCAUGGUAUUCGAGCAUGCGGCAAAUGGAAGCUUGCAAGAAAAGCUUCACAGCACAGAAAAGGAAUCGCAUGUGCUUUCGUGGAGAAGACGAAGGGAGGGAUAGGCAGAGGCAGACCUGCCAUGGAAAGAGGGAGAGCUUCGAGGGAGGAACGUGGGAAGAAGAAAAGCUUCGUGCAGUUGGGACUUUGUGAGAAUAUUGUGAGAAAUCAUGGUGGAUUCUUUGUAACUGGUUUGUGUCUGUAAUACAGACUGGUAAUAGUCUAUAAAUUCUGUAAAUCUGCUGUACGAGAAGAGUCGAAAUCGAGAAGCGACUUUGUGAGAAGGAAAGUUUGUUUGAGGCA